GUAGAAGAUCAGACACAAUAACUGAAAAUCCUAGGACUAUAGACACACUACAGUAAACCUGCAAAACACAAAGUUUAGUUAAGGUUUUCACACAUGACAUGCUCACAGUGGUUGAGAGUUGUCUGCCAUAUUGGUUGCUAUGGAAACAUGUGUAUUCCCCAAAUGGUUGGCAGUGGUUUCUGUAGGUUGCUGGCUCUCUCUAGAUGAAACCAAUUGCCACCACUAGUUGCUAGCAGAUUGCCACUGUUGCCUGCAGCUUUUCAACUUUUUUUUUCUAUAUCCUAUAUAGAUCCAUCCAUCUAUAUCCUAGAGACCAAAGCAAUCACAAAGAGGUUUUUGCCUUCCAGUUGUAUUUUUUUUUUCUUUUCUCAUGACCUGUGCUUGCCAGAUGGUUGCUGACUAUGACUCUGACCAUUUUCAUUUGAUCUUAGAUUGUCACAUGACUGUCACACAAUCAUGACUGUCACAAGUGGAGCACAAAUUAACAUCUCACGGUUAGUUACGUGUCUGCAACACUCCAAUGCAAAUGUUACAAGACAGGACAGACAAUUACCAAAGCUGGAACCAAAACAAAGGGAAGAAGUACAAUUUAUAACAGAGGAAGAAUGUAAAAAUGUAAAAAAACAAAAAAACAAACACACAACACCAAAAUCAUGACAUACUGUACCCAUCAUCUUGUGGCAACACUGUUAUUUUUUGCAUAAAUUAUGUUCUUUUUUUUUUUUUUACCUUUUUGUUUCAUUUAAAUGCAACUAAUCUGCACCAUGUUUAAUCGCAAUGACAUUUAAUCCAAUAUUUACUGGGAUUAACAGUAAAAAGUGAUUUUCCUUUUUAUGCAUUUUCAGCUUAGUUUCAAUUUGUUUUUCUUUAUGUAUAAGUUCUCACAAAAAUUCUUGCAUUUCUAUUCAUGUCACAAAGGAAACUAUGAAGUCUUCAGACAAAACACAGACAGGUUUAUUCUAGUCAUUAUUCCUCUUUCUCGAAUUCUGUUUUUAUUUGUUGGUUUCUAUCUUCCUGUCAUUCAUUUUUUUUCUUCCUUGUUUUUUUUUUAUUUUAUCUGUUUUAUGGCCUCCAGAAAUCUUAACACAUUUGUUUUUUGUUUUUUUUACUGAAUUUCUCUGUGUACUAUUCAUCAGGCUAGUAGUGGACAGAUCUAAGUGUUGCUUUCCUGAGCAAUAACAGUAUUUUUUUUAUUACAUAAAAUUCACACCGCAUUCAAACAGUGCCAUAAAAAUUUUAAGAAAUAGCUAAUAACAAACAAUAAUUAAACAAUGCACAUGUGUAGCUCUAAGAACUUUAAUAUAAUAAAAUGUAAUAAUGAAAAUUAUACUUUUUAAAAAUAAUUUUAAAACAAUUACUUUUUAAAAAGUUGUUUUAAUGAAUGCCCUAAAAGCCCUUUAUCCAGAAUACAAGAUCUGCCUUAGAGGGUUUUUAGCUCAAUGACAGGGUCACUAACUACAUAUCCUGACACCAAACUUUCAAGUGAAAAGUCAAAUCAAAUGUUUAGGUUCAAAACCUUUUAUAAUUCAAUUUGUGAGCCAAGAUGUGGAGAAAGCAGCUUAAAGGACAUUUCUUUGUGAAUGUGUAUGUGUGUGUAUGUGUUAAAGUCACCAAUGUAUUUUUAACGCCUCUGGGUAACCAUCAAUAACCCAGACGUUGUAAGUCAGUCUUCACCCAUCUAUCAGGCUUGUGUGCUGCCCAGGGCUCAAACCCACGGCCCCCUCAUUUGUCUUGCCGUGUUUUCCUGCUUGACAGUUUGCCACCCCCCACUUAAGCACAAACACAUUUGUCCCCUCAGUGACCUACAAGAACUGGCAUGAAACUAAGGUUAAGACAAAAGCUCCCACUAACAGCUGAUAUAAGAUUAAAUGGUUUUGUGCCAUCUGACAGAAGAGCCAGGGUUUUUUAUUUUGUUUUUAUUUAAGCAGCAUUACAAACAUUUUGAUGGUGAUGCAUCAUUUCCAUUUUGAAAUACCUGCAUCUAGACUUUUUCCCAUCUGAAAUAGAUUUAAUGCCAUAUUGAUCUGAUUUCUUCUUUUUUUAUAUUGGACGUGCAGAAGAGUGGUAGGGGAUAAAGGAUUUUAAACAAGGAAAGGAGGAAGACCAGGAGAAGAUUCAUGGAUCUGAUGGCAUGCAGAGUGUUGGUGUGAAGAAGGAGGAUGCCAGUGAUAGGAUGAAAUCGAAUAAUUGCUUUUGAUCAUGAACUUUUUGGUAGUAUUUUGCUUUUUUAGUGUUAUCUUGAUUGAAAACAAGAAAAAAGGUUGUUUAUAUGACAUAUAUUGUUAGUCUGACUGACUUUGACUAGGUUUUUCAAAGGAUCAUGGCUAUUUUUUUUUUGCAUACCAAAUAAUAUUUAUAACCCUGCAAAUAAACUAUAAAAGAAAGAAACAGUUUCAUUCCCCUUCUUUCCUUUUCCUGUUUCUUUCCUUCAUCUUCUGAUUUUGCCUUUACUGACAUGAAUAUUGUGUCAUGGCCCUCAGGACGUUA
ensembl:lncRNA